GUUUUAAUAGUUUAAUAAAAACAUUGGUCUUGUAAACCAAAAAUAAAUUUAAUUUUUAAAAUA
rnacentral:tRNA from 1 species